rnacentral:rRNA from 1 species
UACAGAGGGGGCCAGCGUUAUUCGGAAUUAUUGGGCGUAAAGGGCGCGUAGGCGGCUUUGCGCGUCUUUCGUGAAAUCCCUCGGCUCAACUGAGGACGUGCGGAAGAAACUGCAGGGCUGGAGUCCGGGAGGGGCGAGUGGAAUUCCUGGUGUAGCGGUGAAAUGCGCAGAUAUCAGGAGGAACACCGAUGGCGAAGGCAGGCUCUGGGCCAUAACUGACGCUGGAGAAGCGAAAGCAUGGGGAGCGAACAGGAUUAGGUACCCGGGU